rnacentral:rRNA from 1 species
UACAGACGGUCCAAACGUUAUUCGGAAUUACUGGGCGUAAAGCGCGCGUAGGCGGCAGCGUGUGUCGGGCGUGAAAUCCCACGGCUCAACCGUGGAAGUGCACUCGAAACUGCGCAGCUGGAGUCUCGGAGAGGAAGGCGGAAUGCUUGGUGUAGAGGUGAAAUUCGUAGAUAUCAAGCGGAACACCGGUGGCGAAGGCGGCAUCCUGGACCGGCAUUGACGCUGAGGCGCGAAAGCCAGGGGAGCAAACGGG